UACGAAGGGGGCUAGCGUUGCUCGGAAUCACUGGGCGUAAAGGGUGCGUAGGCGGGUCUUUAAGUCAGGGGUGAAAUCCUGGAGCUCAACUCCAGAACUGCCUUUGAUACUGAGGAUCUUGAGUACGGGAGAGGUGAGUGGAACUGCGAGUGUAGAGGUGAAAUUCGUAGAUAUUCGCAAGAAUACCAGUGGCGAAGGCGGCUCACUGGCCCGAUACUGACGCUGAGGCACGAAAGCGUGGGGAGCAAC
rnacentral:rRNA from 1 species